rnacentral:rRNA from 1 species
AUAAGCAACGUGCCUUGAAGACUGGGAUAGUCAGUGGAAACGCUGGGUAAUACCGGAUGUGGCAGUUCUUUGGCAUCUUAGAACUGUUAAAUGGUUUUUCGCUUCAAGAGCGGCUUAUGGCCUAUCAGGUAGUUGGUGGGGUAAUGGCCUACCAAGCCGACGACGGGUAGCGGGUCUGAGAGGAUGAUCCGCUCGAGUGGGACUGAGACACGGCC